ensembl:snRNA U6 U6 spliceosomal RNA
GUGCUCCCUUCUUCAGCACGUACACUAAAAUUGGAAUGGGACAGAGAUCAGCAUGCCUCCUACGCCAGGAUGACUGGCAGAGCAGUGUGGCUGUUGGAAUGAAU